rnacentral:rRNA from 1 species
GGUAUUUUGACUAUACGAAGGUAUUGAAAUAAGAUUUUAAAUGAGUGCUAAGAGAAUGAUUAAACAAUUAAAAGCUUUCUUUAAUUGAAUAAUUGAAUUUAAUUUUUUAGUGCAAAAGCAAAAAUAAAAAUUAGGGACAAGAAGACCCUAUGAAUUUUUUAUUAAAUUUUAUAAAACUUUAUAUAAAAUUUAAUUUAAUUGGGGUGAUGAAAAAAGAAUAAAUAUCUUUUUUUAAAAAAAAAAAUAGGUUCCGUUUUUAGCGAUUAAAUGAAAAAAAUACUCUAGGGAUAACAGCGUAAUAAUUUUGGAUAGUUCAUAUAGAUAAAAUAGUUUGCGACCUCGAUGUUGGAUUAGGAUUCUUUUUUGGUGAAGAAGU